UACGUAGGGUGCAAGCGUUGUCCGGAAUUAUUGGGCGUAAAGAGCUCGUAGGUGGCCUGUCGCGUCGGCUGUGAAAACUCGGGGCUCAACUCCGAGCUUGCAGUCGAUACGGGCAGGCUAGAGUUCGGCAGGGGAGACUGGAAUUCCUGGUGUAGCGGUGAAAUGCGCAGAUAUCAGGAGGAACACCGGUGGCGAAGGCGGGUCUCUGGAACGCAACUGACGCUGAGACGCGAAAGCGUGGGGAGCAAACAGG
rnacentral:rRNA from 1 species